CACCCCCUAUCUGCCCUUCUCCGAACGUUUGAAGUGUGUCUCACCACCCUUCGUGAAUGUAUCUGCCAAAUUGACCGAACCGCACAUCUCCGAUCUUGCCAAUGCUUCCCUUCCUCUCCCCCACGAUACAUAACAAAUUUACGUUGGUAUUUCAUACUACGAGCAAGCAUAAUCGCAAGUUAGUGCUGUAACAUCCUAACUACAGAGUAAUGCUAUUAAUAAACGACCACGUCGCGACCACCUGCCUUACAGUGCGUACACGUCAGGAACCACUUGACAACGACAACCUGUCGGAUCGUCCCGGUACGUUUUCCCUUUUCAAGAUAAUGCUAGUAGAAACAAAUCCCUCAAAGAAAUAGGCGCUAUAUCGAGAAAAGUCAGAAACGGAGAGAGCAACGCCCUGCCAUCAUGGCUGCUUAUGAACCGGCGUUUGUCCUCGAUCUUUUCGCCGUUAAGAUUAUGACAGAUCGCCGUGAAACGCGCUAAAUUAAUAACAAUGUUGAACUUAACAAGCUGAACCGUACAGUACUUACCUUUUAGAAUUGAAGGUAACCAACAAAGUACACGAUCGUUGAUCGGCAAAGAGACACCGCAAGAAUACUAUCGGCACGACGAAACGAGACUCGAGAGCCGCGAGUUGCGAACACUGUGAGUGAGCAAGAUCGUGGCCGGUACCGUGUCGUGUGGACUCGCUCAAAGAAUGGAUUCGUCCGGUUUCCCCACCACUUGGAUUCACAGCUCUUGCCAUAUAUGGGCAUAAAACGAAAGCGGCUCGCUGAUUGGUCGGUUGGCCGGCUGCCGGCUAGAUUCUCCAAAUGCCGCUUCAAACUGUACGAUACGGGGAGCAUAAUGCCUUCUGGAAGCGUACACUAGCUAAGGGCUUUCCUGACUAACCGUCAGAGCUGUUUGUAGUAGUAAACGUAUCAAUACGUACGAACGUAUAUGUGAAGAUUAUCACGUUCUUUGUGUGCGCGUGCUAGCGACCAGUACCGGCAGUAGGUAUGAGUCAGAAAAAGUUUUGUUAUAUACUUUGGAAUGGUCAACAUUUUUUUUCACUUGAUGCAAGUCGAAACAGUUGUCAUUGAGAUUUAAUGAUCCUCUACUCAUUCGUAAGCUUUCAUGGAAAUUCCUAUCUGUGAAAUAAUAUUAUGAAGUUCGUCGAAUUUAUAUUACGAAAUUUAAUGAAAUAGGAAUCAUGUUACUAAUCCUGGGACAUUUUUCACCUAAUUACCUUUUUCCAUUGAUUUCUUAAAUUUGAGGAAAAUGUGAGAGAACUCUUAUUCAUAGGCCAGAUUUUUUGUUCCAAUUUUAUGCUAAAUUCUUUCCACAAGAAAAACUCGUAUUUCUUGGUAUAUAUAUAUAUAUAACCUAUUUACUGCCUUGAUUACUUAAAAAAUUAUCAGUAAAAAUCAUAUUUCUUUCGCAUUAGUUGUAAUUACGUAACAUAUCUUGGCACUAGAUUUAUUCCUUAACCAGGAUAUGGUAUGAUUAUAUUUGAAGAAAGCGAAUCUUCGAACGAAAAAGGGCAACAAAUUGUCUUUCCGUAAAAUUUAAUAAAAUAAUAUUCUGCCUUUACGACAUAGUCAAAUAGAAUAAGCUGGCGUUCGUAGAAGGUCAUUGAUGAUUUAUUUCUAAAAAAUUCAGUUACCGUGUCACUUUCAAUAUUAAUGAAUAUUAGUGACUCAUAUUAUUGUAGUAAUAAUCUGCAUACCAUGUUUAGUACUACUUGUCUUCCUUUAAAAAAUUGCGCCAGAAGGAAAAUAAUUCGCAAGAAGGAUUUAGAAAGUCAGUAGGUCAGACUCCACUAUUUAUGCAUACUCAUUGUCUAGAUUUCGUUUUAGAGUAGGACAACUAAUGUCUGCCUAAAAGUUAAUAUGUUUUUGAAGAAUUUUAAGGUAGGCCUAGACUAAGUAAUUAAAUGAUGUUCGUCCACCCACUUAUUGCGCGUGGUAUAUGUCAUCUCGGCCGCCUUUUUCAUACAACAGAAGCUAAAAAUAGACUCAAGGGCGCGGAUAAGGGUGCACUGGACUACUACCACGUCACGUAAGCCCUAUGCUUCGGCCCUAUUUCCUGUAUAUGUGUCGGUCCGACGGAAGGCGGCAUGGUGUGUGUGAGUGCAGUGUCUGCUACAAAAUCGAUACGCGUGUUCGUGCAGUCUACAAUGGUACAUCGUACUUGUGCACGGAAACCACGUGGUGAUGGAAACGUCAAAGUACGACUGAUGAUACUGCUUGUUAUUUUGUCGUAAAGCAUUUUGUAGUUAACAUGUUUAUCAGUCGUAAUCAUUACUAUUAAUAAAGCAUGUUGUUAUCAGUUAAAAAGCAAAAUACAAAGAAAUUAAUUAAUAGUGACGUUGAUGAAAUAUAAUAAUACAAUUAUAUGUCUUUUAAGUCGUAAUAGCGUUUGAGUUAAUAUAAUAUCGUAAAUCUUAAAAUCUAUUUAAAAAUAUUUUUUUCAAAGUUGGCUCAUUCGUAUUAACAGAACAUUCGCAUACAUACUUUGAACUUAAUGUCUUAUAAGAAAUACAUGUGAGAUACGUACCAUUGAUUAUUAAUAUAUUGUUUAAGUUUGGAUAUUGCGAAAGGUAUAGUGGAGGAAACAGGACAGUUUUAUAAAUACACCUGCCACGUUCCUUUGUCGAAAUAGUGCUUUGAUGACAUAAUCAGUGAAUCAUUUGUACCUAAUAAGAAAUCGUAUCGGGUUAUGCACUCGUUCCUCUACGAGGACGUGUCAAAUUCUGUUCUUGAUUUUAUUUUUGAUUCCGUGUAGAAUUUCAUCGUUAUUUUUAUUUUUUAAAUUUAAUCACCAUACUUUAUAUGGACGUCAAAUUUAAAUAUACGUCAUUAAUGUGCCAGAUAAACGGAUGGACUGCUUCAGCCAAGUCUAACCUAACCUCGAAACAUCGAAGCCGGCACCCAGCUGUCACACGCACACAGCAUCUUUAUACACGUCAAUUUCGUGUAACCCCAUUGUCCUUUUAACCGCUCAGGUUUUUAUUGGACAAUAUGUUAUUUUACUCAAGUAUAAUAUGAAAAGAUAAAUACAAUAAAAUGGUAUCUAUGGAAA